rnacentral:rRNA from 1 species
CCUACGGGAGGCAGCAGUGAGGAAUUUUCUGCAGUGGGCGAAAGCCUGACAGAGCAAUACCGCGUGAGGGAAUAAGAAGGCCUAUGGGUUGUAAACCUCUUUUCUCAAAGAAGAAGAUCUGACGUUAUUUGAGGAAUAAGCAUCGGCUAACCCUGUGCCAGCAGCCGCGGUAAU